rnacentral:lncRNA from 1 species
AUAGCAGUGAACACAGACAACCCAUGCAUGUUUCUCCUCUCAAGGAGGUGAGUGAGAAAGCUGGUCCUUCAUAAAAUAGGUCAGCAGUGACUCUGCAGGUUCCAUCCCUGGCCCAGCACAGUGGGUUAAAGGAUCCAGCAUUGCCAUAGCUGCAGUGUAGGUCGCAGCUGAGGCUCAGAUCUGAUCCCUGGCCGGAAUCUCCACAUACUGCAGGGCAACCAAAAUAAACAGAAAGAAAAGAAUAGCUUCACUUUUAAAAGCUUACCUGCAAACUGGGAAAGGAUCAUGAUUUGAGAAGGUAUGGGAGCAGAUAAUGAAGGAGGCUACCCCAGGCAGGAAGGUUUCUCUCAGGAAACAUGAUUCUGGAUUGAGAAAUGAGGGGUGAGGCAGAGGCUAACUAGAUUGGAAGGUCCAGGAAGUGGUGACAGAAGACAACGGUCUGACAGGGGGAACAGCUUAUGCAAGAGGUGGCAUAAAGAAGAAUCAGUGGGUGGGGAAUGAGAGAAUUUGGACUUUGGUCUGUCUUGUUCCUUUUUAUUGGUGUAACUCUGGGGAAAGCAAUCACUGCCUUCUCUGGGCCUAACGUCCUUACUUGCAGAGUGACUGAAUUUGAAUCAGAGAAUCCGAGGGAACCUCAGAGCCCCUAAACUAGAUUCCGCCCUUCAUACAAAUUGACCAGGCACCGCCUGUGUACCAGGGUAUCCGAUGGGUCCUGCAAUUCAAAGGCAAAUGAACUGGGAUCACUGACCUCAAGCAGCUUGGUCCAGCGGCAGAGACAGAUAGACAAGGCAGCCCAUUUCUGGGGCCACGUUGUGAGCCUUGUAGGAAGACAGCUGAGAAUGGGAUCAUCCCUGAAGAGAGGCGAGGGGCAGUGGUGAAGACUUCACAGAGUAGAGGAUCUUUGACCAAAAAACAGAGUGAAGUCAGCCUGAGCAGCCAGGAUGGUAUGAAAAAAAUUUGUGGAUAUAGGUUGCAGAUGUGGCUCGGAUCCUGUGUUGCCGUGGCUGUGGUGUAGGCCGGCGGCUGCAGCUCCAAUUGGACCCCUGGCCUGAGAACCUCCAUAUGCCACGGGAGUGGCCCUAAAAAAAAUAAAAUAAAUAAAAUUUGUGGGGAUUGGAAAUACUCACUGGGACACCAGUGAGUCGCACUACUCCAUACUCUACGGUACUGACAACCUCGUCAUGUUUUUUUGAGUCUCUGUGUGUACCUCAGACUCCAAGGUUGAUUAUGAAAAUGCUUGCUCUGAGUCUCCUUGCUCCAGAAGGCUGGGGACAAGUCGAAACGUUUUCCGUGUUCUGCCUUGGUAUCCGAUCUGCCAGAAAAUGCCCUUUUCACAGCAGGGUUCUAGCAAUUUAAUUAUUGUUCGUGAGAUAGUUAGAAGUUCGGGUCAGGGAUGAAGUUCUGUUGCACAAGAAAGUCCAUGAAUAAGAUGUUACAAAAUGAAGUGGAAGGUUUUUUGUUUGUUUUGUGUUCUUGCAGGGAAGGUUUUUAAUGGCCUGACUGCUGCCAGAGUUGGAUCUGAUCAUCAGAAAAUUACAUUAUGCACCAGAGAGAGACAAAAGGAGCCUUUUGAGGAGCUGCUCUAAAAUUAUUUUCUGUUUGUUCGUAUAGAUAAUUGGCUUGAGUAGGAAAUAGAUUUUCCUUGCCAAGAGAGGGUUAGCAUUCCUGUGAUGUGUUAAAAAGCUGGCUGAAGGAUUGGCAUGAGAGGAGACACGCCACGUAACUUGGAGAAGAAUUGAUAGAAGUUAGGUUGUGGUCGUUUAGUUGCAAUGUGAUUAGAAAUAGAACAAAACAAACAGUAUUGAUUUUUAAAUCUGUUUCUUGCCUACUUCCAAAAGGACUUGUGGGUCUUAAGAAAAAUACAUCACUAUAACAUGAGCAUUAAAAUACAGGACAAAGCCAAAACCUCACCAGAAGGUUUUGUGCAGCAGCAACUGUGGAGAUUUUUAUACUGUAAACAAUGAAUAGGAUAAUUUUCCAUGGCUUCAGUAAGUUUUCUAGCUGAUGGCAAACUCUCCUUGUUAUGAUAGUUUUUUUCACAUUGACCGUUAGUAAAAUCUCAUACUGGGUCGAAAGCAUUUUUUUUACGUGGGGACAUGGCUAAGGCAAUCCAGACAUAUACUUUCCUAUUAUGAUUUGAUGCAAGGAAAAAUAUUAGUAAGAGGAUGGAUAUUAUCUUGUUCUGAUCCGUGUUUUAAAUCUUGUAUGUUCAUAAGAACUGCCUGGGGCCCUUGUUAAAAUAUACAUUCCAAUGCCCACCCCGGAUUUACUGAAUCAAAGCCUCUAGCAAAGGGCCUGCGUGUCUGUUUAACGAACGUACCAAGUCAUUUCUUAUGCCCCAGGAAGUGUAGGGAGCUCGGCCGUGGAUGGUUUUCUUUGACUGUUUUCCCCUCUCAGCUGGGCUUUGUAGCAGUCAUUCUGAGCAUAAAUUGUGAUAUGAGCCUGAGGCAAGAGCAUUAAAAGUGAAAUGAUGAAGCCCAGCGGAGCCAGUUUAAUUAGCUGGUCUGGAACCAUAGUGUCAUUUCCCUUCCUCAAGCAGUGAUGCUUCAGAACACUGCCCAUUGCUUCCCCCAGGUGCCUUCUGACCUGUUAGGCCAUGGAUCCUUUUCCUGUCUCCACUGAUGUUUACCAAAACAUCAUCCUGCAUUUCAUCGAUUUUUAAGAUGUGCGUCUUCCCACACUUGGACAUCUCUAAAACUAGGAUGCAUUUGAGAACCAAUAAUGUAUGGAGCUGAUGACACCUUUUUCCUUCUGUCUUAGUGAUAUGGAAGGUCUUGGUGCAUUUUUAUAUUCAAAGGGGUUGAAGAUAGGCUGAGCUGUGCUUGUUCCUUCUGUAGAUAAGGCAUCGGAGGCACUCAGGUGAUGGGUGCGUGGAAAGCAAGGAAAACUACUACUAGUGGGGGGAGCCCAGCCUCAGACCCUGUCCUUGUACUAGUUGUUACUAGAUAAGCAGUUAUUCCAAAACUCAGCGGCACAAAACCACAUUCAGCAUGGAUUAGCUCACACAGUUUCUUAAGGUCGGACAUUCGAGAGAGUGGCUUAACUGGCUGGUUCUAGCCUGGGGUCUCUUAUGAAGUUGCAGCUAAGGUGUUGGCCCAAUCUACAGUCUCUUGAAAGCUUGGCUAAGCCUGGAGCUUCCACCUACAAGGUGGCUUGCUCACGUGGUGCUGGGAGACCCCAGGUUAUCCCUGUGUGGGCCUCUGCACAAGUUCUUGAAAGAGCCCCCAACAUGGUAAUGAGCUUCUCCUAAAGCAAGUGAUCCUAAGGAUCAAAACAGGACUAUGUGACCGUGCCUUUUACUUACUGGCCCCGCCUUGGAAGCCUCACACUUGCUUCUACUACACGUUGCAUUUGCCACACAGACUAAUCCUGACUGAGUGUUCUUGGGGACCACACACGGGUGUGAAUAACAGAAAGUGGGGGUCCUUGGGGCUAGCUGUUUUUUUCACAGCACACUGCCUUUCCAACAUAGGUUUGUCCCGAUCUGCUUAGCCAUCUCCUAGUCUCAGGUCAGGUUCUUAAAUAGAAUGGUAACUCUCAGGGGUUUAUAUCCCAUUCUCGCACUUCUGAAACCGUGUUGUGCCUGUGCAACCCCUGGGUCCCCUGUUAAAACACAGACUCUGAUUUGGUAGGUCUAUCCUGCAGCCUGGGCUUCUCAUGCUAAUGGGCUUCCACACUGGGCCCUGCUCCUGGUCCUGUUCACUCUUAGUAGGAAAGUGAACAGAGCCCGGCGGGCCUCCAGGAGCCCCCUCUACAGCACGGCCCCGAAACCGAACUCCUCUCUCCUCGAGGGGAACUUGCCCCCUCCCCUUCUUCUGGCUGAGAGACAAAUGGUCUGGGGGGAAGGACCUAGAGAAACCAGCCCAUUUCACUAAGUUGGCUAAGGGAAAGAGGCAUGACACAGAUAAGAGCCCGGGCAUCAUGAGGGGGGCAGCGUGCCGCAGCUGUGAGCCGCUUCACAGCGAAGGUCAGGAUUCAGACAGCAACAGCUGGGGGCUCAAAGUGGCGAGGCAAUUAGCCGGCAGGGGGUGGGGGUAGGGUGGGAUGGAACGCAAACAGUGCUUAAAAUGAAACGUGUUGAUGCAUUAUUCAGAGCUCAGAUGCCCAUCCGUGGAUUCCCCAUCCUCCUGUCCUGCUUCUGCCCUCUCUCCCCUUAAACACACUCACACACGCGUGUGCACACAUGCAUCUCUUCCACAUAUUAGCAUUUGGGAAAACUCUAGACCUACAAUGUAUUUCCCUGAGUAAAAUGGCAAUUAGAGCUGAAGCCAUCCUAUAUAUGUUGCCACACUUUAAGCUGCUUGGCUGGGAUCUAGAACGCAGGCCCUGGCACGCUGCUCCGCUUCUUGCCCAUCUGGGGCCACACUUCUGUCUUGUGUCUUCCCACGCAUCUGCCAGGAGGAACGUGUUAGACUAAAAGCUCAGCAAGAGAGGAAAUAUAUUUCUUUUGUUCACCUCUUUCCCUCUCUGUUUGUAUGUGUGCAAUAUACAGAUGUUUACACACAUGUCUAUGUUAUAAAUAAGGAGAGGAAUGAAUACCCCAACCUAUUGUGUGGAGAGAGGGAACUCGUGAACCUUUUGAAUAUAUCAGGAAAACAUAGUGAGGUGUCUGCAGUGGAACACAGGACACUCCCAUUUCACAUUCCGGUGGCUGCUGGGGACCUUUGGAAAGGGGUCAAGUUUAUCACCUCCCAUUUCUCUAUCAGCCAGGCCAGUCUCUUAACUGUAGAAGUUAAAUAUUGCUAUUUCCUGGACAUUUACUGUGUGCUGAGCACAUGUGUUACGUCAUUUAAUGUUCCAACAACCUGAGCAGAAGGUAAUGAUCACCUCCAGUUUGCAGAAGAGGAAACCAAACCUGUGAGAGUCGAAAGCAUUUACCUUAUACCGCUAGUCGUUGGUGGUUUUGCAGGCCAUCCCCGAUUGAUUUCAGCCUAAAGCUGGUCUUUAUUGUCCUCUGUCACAGAACAAGAUGUCCAGAGAAGGAGAAAGAGAAUAAUAGCUCAAUCGGAGCCAGAAGGACUCCCAACCUUGAAUCCAGGCACUUGCUUCUUUGCAUCUAUCAUUGGUGCUGUGACGGCCCCCGAGAUGCAUUUCAUGGGACCUCUGCUCCAGGGGAGUCUGUGCACUGAUAUGAGUCAGAGUCAUUGUCCGAGGCUACUCAUUAAGUAUCAGCCAGUCCAUACAUGGCUAGUGGGAAUGCAAAGUGGCACAGCCAUUUAGGAAACAGGGUGACACUUUAUUAGAAAGUUAAAUACACUGCACACAUUUCAAAAAUAGUGCAGCUAUCAUACGCCUAAGCAUUUACCUAAGAGAAACAGAAUUUAUGCUCACACAAAGGCCUACACCAAUUUUUAUUCAUAGUAGCAAAAAGGUGGACACAACCCAACUGUGCAUCAGCUGGUGAGUGGAUACACAAAAGUCCUCCCAUCCAUACUGGGGAAUACUGCUCAACAGUAACAAGCCAGCUAUUGAUUUGAUGAAUUCACCAACAGGAAUGAAUAUUGAAAGUACCAUGCUAAGUGAAAGAAGACAGCCAUGAAACGCUACAUCUUUUUUCACCUGUGUGCCAUUUAGGAAAUGGUAAAACUCUAGGGAUAGAAAUUGGAUCAGAGAUUGCCUGGGGCUUGGAAAAGGAACUGGCUGCAGGAGGGCAUGAGGACAUUUGGGCGGGUGAUAGAAAUCUUCUGUGUCUUCAUUGUGGCUCUAGGUAUAUAACUGUGUACUUUUGUCAGACCUAUCAAACUAUCGUUAAAAGGGGUGAAUUUGUUGUGUAAAUUAUACCUCAGUAGACAUGACUCUUAAAAAUAUAUUAACUGGUUCAAACCCACUGUUUAUUUCCUUUCUUUCUUUUUCUUUCUUUCUUUUUUUUGAGGAGGCUGCACCCGAGGCAUAUGGAAGUUCCCAAGCUAGGGGUUGAAUGGGAGCUACAGCUACCUGCCUACAUAAAAGCCACAGCAACAUGGGAUAUGAGCCUCGUGUGCAACCUACACCACUGCUCAUGGCAAUGACGGAUCCCUUAACCCACUGAGCCACAACGGGAAUUCC